rnacentral:lncRNA from 1 species
CCUAGUCAAUCAUUUGGGGCUAAAUAAAAUAACUAGAUACAGCGUCAUCAUCCUUCUGGGGGCCUGAGUCCAGAACCUGGGAAUUGUUCUUGACUCCACCUGUCCUCCCUGCUACACAGUCCUGUGUGUCACUUCUGCUGGAUGUCUCUGCAGCUGUGGGGUAAACGAGUCCAUGGAUGGCCACUGGGAUCCCAGCCCAUGCGCAGCUACUUUGGGGAAGGGAAGCCAUGUCUGAACUCCCAGGCCGCUCUCAGCCCCUUGGCCAAGGUCUUGGAGUAUGGCUGUAUCUCCAGAGAGCCCUUUCCUUGGCUGAAUAUCGGAGUUGUCUAUGGAGUUUUCUGUCCUACCAUCCCCCCAACACACAAACAGACACAGACACACACAGAGACACACACACACACACACAGGGUGUGACGUGUUGGAGAGCAGGAAGCCUACCUUGUUCAUCUCUGCAUGCCCCUCAGCCCUGAGAACAGUGCUCUGUAUACAGUAAGUGUUCAAUAAACUCUGAAUAAGAUCAAACCAAAUGAUGCUCAAGUUAAAAAGGCCCACUUGGCUUAUUAGACUUUUAGAGACGCUUUCCAGAAAGAGCUCCACUGGGCAGGCAAAGUUGAGAGAGCCUCUUUCUUCCCCACCGCCUCCCUGUAGCCUGCCAACCUUCAGACUGCAUUAUUCCCACGCCGGAACCCAGGCAACAUCAUCAGACAAGUCAGAUGUUUCCCA